UACGUAGGGUGCGAGCGUUAAUCGGAAUUACUGGGCGUAAAGCGCGCGUAGGCGGUUAUUUAAGUCGGGUGUGAAAGCCCCGGGCUCAACCUGGGAAUUGCAUCCGAUACUGAGUAACUAGAGUAUGAGAGAGGGAGGUAGAAUUCCACGUGUAGCGGUGAAAUGCGUAGAUAUGUGGAGGAAUACCGGUGGCGAAGGCGGCCUCCUGGCUUAAUACUGACGCUGAGGUGCGAAAGCGUGGGGAUCAAACAGG
rnacentral:rRNA from 1 species